rnacentral:lncRNA from 1 species
CCUGAGCUCAAGUGAUCCACCCGCCUUGGCCUCCCAAAGUGCUGGGAUUACAGGUGUGAGCCACCACACCCGGCUGGAUUCUUCUUUAUAAGCCCUUCGGAAUAGGAUCAAACCAAUCCAGCCAUUGGAGUCUUUCAAAGAUGACACAGAUGUGAGGUGAGGAACUUGGGGCUCAGUGAGAUGGAGUGACUUUGACCUGCCUGAUGUUCCACAGCCAGCAGUGUAUUUUCUCCAGGUAAAGAAAGCUUUUCGUGGUUCACUGACUGAGGAAAAUCAACCCCUCCACAAUCUAGAACCUGAAGACUGGAUCUUCUGGGAACAUCAGAAAUAGACUGCCUUUGCCAUCCACACUACAGCAAAACUCUGGGACCUUGAACUUUGGGUUCAUAAUCUCACAACCCAAAAGGUUCCCUCCACACUCCUGGAACUGUACACCCUUUGGAAACUUUAAGGUAACACUAACCAGGGAAGUGUCUCCCCAGAAGAUGACAUUCUUGAUGUGAACAGCUUUUCCCCAAGAUCAUGAAUCAAGAUUCCUCUACUAUCAGGAGACUCUCAAUCUUUCAAAUUUUUCCCCCUUGCUUAUGCCUCCAUGAGCAAUAGAGGUGAAGUCGGGGUCAGUUGUGUGUACUCAUGGGGUAUACUUUUAUUUGUGAAGGAUUUUGCAGCCAGCCUUGUACAUGGAUAACCUUAUGGUUUGACAGAUGGAAGAUGAAGGCCCAAUGUAGGUGAGAAAUUUGAAUGGUAUAUUAUGUUCCCUUAUAAUCAGUCAGAAGGACAACAUGGAUCUACUCCUGUUUACCCACCUC